CCUACGGGAGGCAGCAGUGGGGAAUCUUGGACAAUGGGCGGAAGCCUGAACCAGCCACGCAGCGUGCAGGAUGACGGCCCUACGGGUUGUAAACUGCUUUUAUACGGGAAUAACUCGCCUUACGUGUAGGGCUUUGCAUGUACCGUAUGAAUAAGGACCGGCUAAUUCCGUGCCAGCAGCCGCGGUAAUACGGAAGGUCCGGGCGUUAUCCGGAUUUGUGGGGUUUAAAGGGAGCGUAGGCCGCAUGUCAAGCGUGCUGUGAAAUGUCCGGGCUCAACCCGGGCCUUGCAGCGAGAACUGGGGGGCUGGAGUCCGCGGAGAGCAGGCGGAAUUCGUGGUGUAGCGGUGAAAUGCUUAGAUAUGACGAAGAACCCCGAUGGCGAAGGCAGCUUGCUGCAGCGGAACUGACGCUGAUGCUCGAAAGCGAGGGUAUCGAACAGGAUUAGAUACCCUGGUAGUC
rnacentral:rRNA from 1 species